GAUGAACGCUGGCGGCGUGCCUAAUACAUGCAAGUCGAGCGAAUGGAUUGAGAGCUUGCUCUUAUGAAGUUAGCGGCGGACGGGUGAGUAACACGUGGGUAACCUGCCCAUAAGACUGGGAUAACUCCGGGAAACCGGGGCUAAUACCGGAUAACAUUUUGAACCGCAUGGUUCGAAAUCGAAAGGCGGCUUCAGCUGUCACUUAUGGACGGACCCGCGUCGCAUUAGCUAGUUGGUGAGGUAACGGCUCACCAAGGCAACGAUGCGUAGCCGACCUGAGAGGGUGAGCGGCAACACUGGGACUGAGACACGGCCCAGACUCCUACGGGAGGCAGCAGUAGGGAAUCUUCCGCAAUGGACGAAAGUCUGACGGAGCAACGCCGCGUGAGUGAUGAAGGCUUUCGGGUCGUAAAACUCUGUUGUUAGGGAAGAACAAGUGCUAGUUGAAUAAGCUGGCACCUUGACGGUACCUAACCAGAAAGCCACGGCUAACUACGUGCCAGCAGCCGCCGUAA
rnacentral:rRNA from 1 species